rnacentral:rRNA from 1 species
GACAGAGGAGCCAAGCGUUGUCCGGAUUGACUGGGCGUAAAGCGCACGCAGGCGGUCGUGCGCGGGGGGUGUGAAAUCUGGCCGCUUAACGGCCAGGCGCCAUCCCAUACGGCACGACUGGAGCGAUGCAGAGGUCGGUGGAAUUGCCGGUGUAGUGGUGAAAUGCGUAGAGAUCGGCAGGAACACCAGUGGCGAAAGCGCUUGACUGGGCCGUAACUGACGCUGAGGAACGAAAGCCAGGGGAGCGAAAGGG